rnacentral:rRNA from 1 species
GAUCAUGGCUCAGGACGAACGCUGGCGGCAUGCUUCAUACAUGCAAGUCGAACGAUAAGGUCUCUUCGGAGAUACAUAAGUGGCGGACGGGUGAGUAAUAUGUAGGAAAUCUGCCCUAGAGAGGGGGACAACAGAGGGAAACUUCUGCUAAUACCCCAUAUGAGCGUACCUGAAAUGGUAUUCUUGAAAACUCCGGUGCUCUAGGAUGAGCCUGCAUCUGAUUAG